rnacentral:rRNA from 1 species
UACGUAGGGGGCAAGCGUUGUCCGGAUUCAUUGGGCGUAAAGAGCGUGUAGGCGGCCAGGUAGGUCGGUUGUGAAAACUGGAGGCUCAACCUUCAGAGGUCGACCGAAACCAUCUGGCUAGAGUCCGGGAAGAGGAGAGUGGGAAUUCCUGGUGUAGCGGUGAAAUGCGCAGAUAUCAGGAAGAACACCCGUAGCGAAGGCGGCACUCUGGGCCGGUACUGACGCUGAGGACGAAAGCGUGGGGAGCAAACAGGA